GACGAACGCUGGCGGCGUGCUUAACACAUGCAAGUCGAACGGAAAGGCCCUGCUUUUGUGGGGUGCUCGAGUGGCGAACGGGUGAGUAACACGUGAGUAACCUGCCCUUGACUUUGGGAUAACUUCAGGAAACUGGGGCUAAUACCGGAUAGGAGCCCCUGCUGCAUGGUGGGGGUUGGAAAGUUUCGGCGGUUGGGGAUGGACGGGCGGCUUAUCAGCUUGUUGGUGGGGUAGUGGCUUGCCAAGGCUUUGACGGGUAGGCGGCCUGGGAGGGUGACCGGCCACAUUGGGACUGAGGUACGGCCCAGACUCCUACGGGAGGCAGCAGUGGGGAAUAUUGCACAAUGGGCGGAAGCCUGAUGCAGCAACGCCGCGUGCGGGAUGACGGCCUUCGGGUUGUAAACCGCUUUCGCCUGUGACGAAGCGUGAGUGACGGUAAUGGGUAAAGAAGCACCGGCUAACUACGUG
rnacentral:rRNA from 1 species